GGAUCAAUAUAUCGGUCGUGCUUCGGUAUGUACUGGUAUUAUUGAUUUCUCCCUUCUGACAAACUAUGAUGUCAUUAAUUUGGUGUUAUAGGGAAUUAGGACUGUUACUUUGAAAAAAUUAGAGUGUUUAAAGCAGGCUAACGCCUGAAUACAUUAGCAUGGAAUAAUGAAAUAGGACGAGCGAUCCUAUUUUGUUGGUUUCUAGGAUUGACGUA
rnacentral:rRNA from 1 species